UACGUAGGGUGCAAGCGUUAAUCGGAAUACUGGGCGUAAAGCGUGCGCAGGCGGUUAUGUAAGACAGAUGUGAAAUGCCCGGGCUUAACCUUGGAACUGCGUCGGAUACUGGAUGGCUUGAAUUCGGGAGAGGGAUGCAGAAUUCCAGGUGUAGCGGUGAAAUGCGUAGAUAUCUGGAGGAAUACCGGUGGCGAAGGCGGCAUCCUGGACCGACAUUGACGCUGAACGGCGAAAGCUAGGGGAGCGAA
rnacentral:rRNA from 1 species